GAUGUCCAAGUUUGAUCUAACAAAUUACCGACGUGUGCAAAAACUGUUACAUCGGUAACUUGUUAGGUCAAACUUGGACACG
rnacentral:pre_miRNA from 1 species